GAUGAACGCUAGCGGCAGGCCUAACACAUGCAAGUCGAGGGGCAGCACAGAAACAGCAAUGUUUUGGUGGCGACCGGCGGACGGGUGCGUAACGCGUAUGCAACCUACCUUUAACAGGGGGAUAACGGAGAGAAAUUUCCACUAAUACCCCAUAACAUCGAUCAAGGCAUCUUGAUUGGUUGAAAACUCCGGUGGUUAAAGAUGGGCAUGCGUUGUAUUAGGUAGUUGGUGAGGUAAUGGCUCACCAAGCCUACGAUACAUAGGGGGACUGAGAGGUUAGCCCCCCAAAGUGGUACUGAGACACGGACCAGACGACUACGGGAGUCAGCAGUGAGGAAUAUUGGUAGAUGGGGGCAACCCUGAACCAGCCAUGCAGCGUGCAGGAAGACGGCUCUAUGAGUUGUAAACUGCUUUUAAACAGGGAUAAAGCACAGUAUGUAUACUGUGUUGAAGGUACUGUAAGAAUAAGGAUCGGCUAACUCCGUGCCAGCCGCCGCCGUAA
rnacentral:rRNA from 1 species